rnacentral:lncRNA from 1 species
CCUGUCCUGAAUAAUUUUGGGAGCAACUGGGUGAUGAUUACAAGCCAGUUAACUGAAUGAGUCCUUCAGCCGCUGGCUAGCUAGCUAUUCUUAUCUUACCAUUAUAUGUCUUCCUCAGUAUUGUUUUGUGAAUUAUUUCUUUUUUUGAACUAUGCAGGAGGACUGCAUGUGAUGAGUUAAGAAGAUCUGCGACCAUUUUAGCUCCAGCAGUUAGUACACAACCAAUCAACAGUGCAUUUUCACGACCCAGGCUUCUGAAUUCUGACUGACAGGCUCGCAGGCACAGCCACAUAUAAUCUCACGCAUUCAAAAUGCUAGCUACAUGAAAUACGCCCAGAUUUACGAGUAGAAAUCCAAGGUAACACUUAUCGCUUAAAAGUAUUUACUUCAUUUUUUAUCUUCAUGUAAAAAGAGAAUGCAAGCUGAAAUAUAAAGUCUGCAGAUUCCUCCUCUAUGUUCAAUUUUCCUAAUAGGAAGAACCAUACCAACAACCCUUGAACUAGAUUGGUCGAAGCAGCAUACAUACAUAUUCAUGUUUUACAUUUUAAAUUUGAAGACCAAGGCAACUCCCGUCGAUUUAAUUGGAGGUGAAUGUCUGUUUUUUGUUUGUAUUUAAUCUUAGAAAACAAAAUCUCAUCAAGUGAAAAUCCACAGGCAUUGCAGUCCAAUUGUUCUAAGGAUUGGAACCAAAAAUCCACAGGCAUUGCAGUCCAAUUGUUCUAAGGAUUGGAACCAGACGUGUGACUCAAUACUGCUUGGAACAUGUGAGCAAAGUUUACGUACAUGCACCUUCUUGGAUGAUACAACUU